rnacentral:rRNA from 1 species
GCCGGCAGCUAGCUUUCCGCAACUCUCAAAUGGUCGCCCACUGAAGCUAAGCAGGGCUGUGCCCGGUCAGUAUCUGGAUGGGAGACCACAUAGGAAAGCUGGGUUGCUGCCGGAA